rnacentral:rRNA from 1 species
UACGAAGGGGGCUAGCGUUGUUCGGAAUCACUGGGCGUAAAGGGCGCGUAGGCGGCUUUAUAAGUCGGGGGUGAAAGCCUGUGGCUCAACCACAGAAUUGCCUUCGAUACUGUAGAGCUUGAGACCGGAAGAGGUAAGUGGAACUGCGAGUGUAGAGGUGAAAUUCGUAGAUAUUCGCAAGAACACCAGUGGCGAAGGCGGCUUGCCAGAACUGCGCUCGACGGUGAGG